CGCACCGGCGUAUUGUGUGCUCAUUUCUGUCGCAGCUUUGAUGGUAAAAGCACAUUUGUGAGGCAUCACAAUGUAAGCUAUGAUGGAAUGCCCUUUCAUUAUAUGUUCUUUUCGUACGCCAGUUCGUUAGUAAUCGUGAUGCUAAAAACUUGUGUUUCCACAAGCCUUCAAAUCUCAAUAACCAUUUUUUUCUUCAGUUCAGAUUACAGUAUUAAUUUUAGUAACCAUAAAGGUGUGUAUGCCAAUCGCACAGGUUGACACUGAACGCACUGCUGGUAUGCUUCUAGCGGAGGUCCUCAAGCUGUCCGAUAAUUAUGGGAAGGAAAAAGUCUAUAUAACACCUAAUGUAUUGAUGGUAGACUACAUAACCCCCUCAACUAGAGAACCAGGUAUUGUGGGUAUUGUGACCUUUAAAGUAUCUAAAACCGUUCAAAUCACCCCCUGAAGUGG
rnacentral:lncRNA from 1 species